rnacentral:misc_RNA from 1 species
GUUUCCGUAGGUGAACCUGCGGAGGGAUCAUUAAAGUUAUAGUCCCCCGGCCCCUCCGGGCUGGGGUCUUCUAUACCACCCUUUGUUUAUUACACCUUUGUUGCUUUGGCAGGCCUGCCCUCGGGCUGCUGGCUCCGGCCGGCUCGUGCCUGCCAGAGGACCUAAACUCUGUUUGUAUAUGAAGUCUGAGUACUAUAUAAUAGUUAAAACUUUCAACAACGGAUCUCUUGGUUCUG